CGAGUCCACCAGAGAAGAGUCUCAAGCAAGCUCUCUCUCUCUCUCUCUCUCUCUCUGAUCUGAUUGUUCAAUAGACGAAGGUGGGUUUUGAGCUCUCUGGUUGGGGCUUCCGCAAGAGUCACUUUUUCCCAUUGUCAAAAUUGGGUAUAUGGGUUUUCCCCGAUUUGAACGACCCAAAGGACUGGAUGGCGAGGCAAGUCCAAACCUUUAUGUGGCCAAUUGUGGACCAUGUGUGGGGCUUUCUUUUGACACUAUUGCAUCAGUGUUCAGUACCUUUGGAGAAGUGAAUGGAGUCUAUGCAGCUGAUGAGAGUGGCACUCGUGUUAUUGUUUCUUACAUUGAAGAGAGUUCUGCUCAAACAGCUUUAAAGGCUUUAAACAGACGUCCGUGUCCUGAUCUUGGAGGCCGUUUCUUGCACAUACAGUACUCCAUAAUGCAACUUCCUAAACAGGUUAAUACAAAUGACUCAAUUCCAGUAUCUUUGGUAGCUUCAGAGUUGAAUAUUCCAGGCCUUCACUUGUGGCAUGACUUUGUCACUGCCACAGAAGAGGAGGAAUUGCUUGCAGCAGUUGAUGAUAGGCCUUGGAAAAGUCUUGCAAAAAGAAGGGUUCAACAUUACGGGUACGAGUUUUUAUAUGAAACAAGGAAUAUUAAUACAAGGGAAAGCAUGGGUGAACUGCCAUCCUUCGUUUCUCCCAUACUCGAAAGAAUCUCGUUGAUUUCAGAUCUUGAUAACGCUGCAAAUAUAGUUCUGGACCAACUCACGGUUAAUGAGUACCCCUCUGGAGUGGGCUUGUCCCCACAUAUAGACACCCAUUCUGCAUUUGAGGAAUUAAUUUUCAGCCUUUCAUUAGCAGGGCCUUGCAUCAUGGAGUUCCGAAGGUAUUCAGAAGGUGUUUCGCUUCCGAAACCUGAUUCAGGUACAGACAACCAAGUGGAAAAUCCCAACAGUAGCUCAAAUUUUAUAAGGAGGGCUAUUUAUCUGCCACCUCGAUCAAUGUUAUUGUUAUCUGGGGAGGCACGGUAUGCUUGGCUCCAUUACAUUCCACAUCAUAAGGUAUAGCUCACUAUCUAUAGUUGUCAACUCUUUAACUCUUGGACUCUUUGUCAAUUAUUCAAACAUAUUUCAUAUGUAAAGUAUAUUAUGUUAUCUGGGGAGCAUCUUUGCAGCUAUUCUUCUGUUGUUGAUACUUCACUUUCUUUAACUUUGACCACCCUUUAUUCCUCCAGGAUUGUGAGGACUCUCAUCCUAUAUAUAUUCUCAUUCUUGAUCAGCAUAAACUAAAUCAGAUAGUACAUUUGAAGUGUUUUUUAUUCGAGAAAACUGUGAUCAGCUUUACAUUAUUAGCUGGUCUCCUUUUUGUGUUCUACUGUGUUUUAUUUGUUCAUUGCAUAUUUGAUCUUCAAUGAUCCCUUGGGAGAUAUGCUUUGGGGCAUUUAUGAAUUUGCUUUUGACAAGCUGCUCUGACAUCCAGACAUCUCUAGUUUAUUUGGAAAGGCAAAAAGUGGAGAAUCUUCAGAGAUUGACCUCGUGAAGGAUAGUGCGAUCAGAAGAGGUUCAAGGAGAGUAUCUUUCACAUUUCGUAAGGUUAGGACAGGACCUUGCAAAUGUGAAUUUCCUCAACACUGCGAUUCUCAGAGUUAAAAGGGGGUGUCAUUUGCAUACUGAUUUGAGACGGAUUCUAGAAAUGCUUACUCCGUCGACCAGCAUUGGGAUUCUUGUGAGGAGAUGGUUGGUUGGUGGAGCAACAACAAUCAUGAGUUCAAUAUUUAUUUUUUUUUUGUUUUCAAAUUGGCAAUCCAUUUUGCCAAGGAAGUAGCUUUCAAUUCUCAUGCUGCAAAAACAAACAUUUAAGGUAGAAAAAAAUUGCAGAAGGUAGAACAUAGGACUGAUAAGGAUUAGUGCUUUUGUUGUAUUUGCAUUAGAAGAUGAUAGGAAAUUCCUGACAUGUUGUCAUUAUCUUAUCAAUAUAGUUACAAAAUAUCCUUGGAUGUAGUGAACCUGUUUGGAUAACUAUUGAAUUAGAAUGAACUCAUUUCAUUUUGUGGUUUC